AGGUUUAAGGAGCCUCCAGCCUUUGGUCCAAUGUGUGACCUACUGUGGUCCGAUCCAUCGGAAGAUUAUGGCAAUGAGAAGACCUUGGAGCACUUUACUCACAAUACUGUUCGAGGUUGCUCCUAUUUCUACAGUUACCCUGCAAUUUGUGAAUUUUUGCAAAACAACAAUUUGUUAUCCGUGAUUCGAGCGCACGAAGCCCAGGAUGCAGGGUACCGAAUGUACAGAAAGAGCCAAA